GACAGCCAGGUGUAACAGACAGCCAGGUGUAACAGACAGCCAGGUAUAACAGACAGCCAGGUAUAACAGACAGCCAGGUAUAACAGACAGCCAGGUGUAACAGACAGCCAGGUGUAACAGACAGCCAGGUGUAACAGACAGCCAGGUGUAACAGACAGGUAUAACAGACAGACAGGUGUAACAGACAGACAGGUGUAACAGACAGACAGGUGUAACAGACAGACAGGUGUAACAGACAGACAGGUGUAACAGACAGCCAGGUAUAACAGACAGACAGGUAUAACAGACAGACAGGUAUAACAGACAGACAGGUAUAACAGACAGACAGGUAUAACAGACAGACAGGUAUAACAGACAGACAGGUAUAACAGACAGACAGGUAUAACAGACAGACAGGUAUAACAGACAGACAGGUAUAACAGACAGACAGGUGUAACAGACAGACAGGUAUAACAGACAGACAGGUGUAACAGACAGCCAGGUGUAACAGACAGGUAUAACAGACAGACAGGUGUAACAGACAGACAGGUGUAACAGACAGGUAUAACAGACAGCCAGGUGUAACAGACAGGUAUAACAGACAGACAGGUAUAACAGUCAGGUGUAACAGACAGUCAGGUAUAACAGACAGACAGGUAUAACAGUCAGGUGUAACAGACAGUCAGGUAUAACAGACAGACAGGUAUAACAGUCAGGUAUAACAGACAGCCAGGUGUAACAGACAGGUAUAACAGACAGACAGGUAUAACAGUCAGGUGUAACAGACUGACAGGUGUAACAGACAGACAGGUAUAACAGACAGACAGGUAUAACAGACAGGUGUAACAGACAGACAGGUAUAACAGUCAGGUGUAACAGACAGUCAGGUAUAACAGACAGACAGGUAUAACAGUCAGGUGUAACAGACUGACAGGUGUAACAGACAGCCAGGUAUAACAGACAGGUAUAACAGACAGACAGGUAUAACAGUCAGGUAUAACAGAC